rnacentral:tRNA from 1 species
GUUGUUGUAGUAUAGUGGUGAGUAUCCCCGCCUGUCACGCGGGAGACCUGGGUUCGAUCCCCGGCAACGGCG